rnacentral:rRNA from 1 species
UAGAGUUUGAUCAUGGCUCAGAUUGAACGCUGGCGGCAGGCCUAACACAUGCAAGUCGAGCGGUAACAGGAAGGAAGCUUGCUUUCUUUGCUGACGAGCGGCGGACGGGUGAGUAAUGCCUGGGAAAUUGCCCUGAUGUGGGGGAUAACCAUUGGAAACGAUGGCUAAUACCGCAUGAUGCCUACGGGCCAAAGAGGGGGACCUUCGGGCCUCUCGCGUCAGGAUAUGCCCAGGUGGGAUUAGCUAGUUGGUGAGGUAAUGGCUCACCAAGGCGACGAUCCCUAGCUGGUCUGAGAGGAUGAUCAGCCACACUGGAACUGAGACACGGUCCAGACUCCUACGGGAGGCAGCAGUGGGGAAUAUUGCACAAUGGGCGCAAGCCUGAUGCAGCCAUGCCGCGUGUAUGAAGAAGGCCUUCGGGUUGUAAAGUACUUUCAGUGGUGAGGAAGGGAGUGUGGUUAAUAGCCAUAUUCUUUGACGUUAGCCACAGAAGACGACCGAUCC